UACAGAGGGUGCGAGCGUUACUCGGAAUUACUGGGCGUAAAGCGCGCGUAGGCGGUUUUGCAAGUCGGGUGUGAAAUCCCCAGGCUUAACCUGGGAACUGCAUUCGAGACUGCAUUACUAGAGUAUGGGAGAGGGAAGUGGAAUUUCCGGUGUAGCGGUGAAAUGCGUAGAUAUCGGAAGGAACAUCAGUGGCGAAAGCGACUUCCUGGACCAAUACUGACGCUCAUGUGCGAAAGCGUGGGGAGCAAACAGG
rnacentral:rRNA from 1 species